rnacentral:rRNA from 1 species
CUACGGGGGGCUGCAGUGAGGAAUAUUGCACAAUGGGGGGAACCCUGAUGCAGCAACGCCGCGUGGAGGAUGACGCAUUUCGGUGUGUAAACUCCUUUUAUAUGUCAAGAAAAUGACGGUAGCAUAUGAAUAAGCACCGGCUAACUCCGUGCCAGCAGCCGCGGUAAUACGGAGGGUGCAAGCGUUACUCGGAAUCACUGGACGUAAAGGACGCGUAGGCGGGUUGGAAAGUCAGGUGUGAAAUCCUACAGCUUAACUGUAGAACUGCACUUAAAACUUCUAAUCUAGAGUAUGGGAGGGGGAGAUGGAAUUAGUGGUGUAGGGGUAAAAUCCGUAGAUAUCACUAGGAAUACCUAAAGCGAAGGCGAUCUCCUGGAACAUUACUGACGCUAAGGCGUGAAAGCGUGGGGAGCAAACAGGAUUAGAUACCCUAGUAGUC